rnacentral:rRNA from 1 species
UACGAAGGGGGCGAGCGUUGUUCGGAAUCACUGGGCGUAAAGCGCACGUAGGCGGACUCUUAAGUCGGUGGUGAAAUCCUGGAGCUCAACUCCAGAACUGCCUUCGAUACUGGGAGUCUUGAGUCCGGGAGAGGUGAGUGGAACUGCGAGUGUAGAGGUGAAAUUCGUAGAUAUUCGCAAGAACACCAGUGGCGAAGGCGGCUCACUGGCCCGGUACUGACGCUGAGGUGCGAAAGCGUGGGGAGCAAACAGG